rnacentral:rRNA from 1 species
GACGAACGCUGGCGGCGUGCCUAAUACAUGCAAGUAGAACGCACAGUUUAUACCGUAGCUUGCUACACCAUAGACUGUGAGUUGCGAACGGGUGAGUAACGCGUAGGUAACCUGCCUGGUAGCGGGGGAUAACUAUUGGAAACGAUAGCUAAUACCGCAUAAUAUUGAUUAUUGCAUGAUAAUUAAUUGAAAGGUGCAAUUGCACCACUACCAGAUGGACCUGCGUUGUAUUAGCUAGUAGGUGAGGUAGCGGCUCACCUAGGCGACGAUACAUAGCCGACCUGAGAGGGUGAUCGGCCACACUGGGACUGAGACACGGCCCAGACUCCUACGGGAGGCAGCAGUAGGGAAUCUUCGGCAAUGGACGAAAGUCUGACCGAGCAACGCCGCGUGAGUGAAGAAGGUUUUCGGAUCGUAAAGCUCUGUUGUAAGAGAAGAACGGGUGUGAGAGUGGAAAGUUCACACUGUGACGGUAUCUUACCAGAAAGGGACGGCUAACUACGUG